rnacentral:rRNA from 2 species
ACCCUAAAGAUAGGGCGUUUUCUUCGGGAACGCAUGACAGGUGGUGCAUGGUCGUCGUCAGCUCGUGUCGUGAGAUGUUGGGUUAAGUCCCGCAACGAGCGCAACCCUUGUUACUAGUUGCCAGCAUUAAGUUGGGCACUCUAGUGAGACUGCCGGUGACAAACCGGAGGAAGGUGGGGACGACGUCAGAUCAUCAUGCCCCUUAUGACCUGGGCUACACACGUGCUACAAUGGACGGUACAACGAGUCGCGAACUCGCGAGGGCAAGCAAAUCUCUUAAAACCGUUCUCAGUUCGGACUGCAGGCUGCAACUCGCCUGCACGAAGUCGGAAUCGCUAGUAAUCGCGGAUCAGCAUGCCGCGGUGAAUACGUUCCCGGGUCUUGUACACAC